UUAUUAUGCCAAAGAGGGAGUUCGAAAAAGCAAAGCCAAGAGCUGUUUCUUUCAAAUUCAUCUUCUCUUCUCCAUACGUUCGUCGCGCGAUGAACCAAACCAAACGCGAUCUUGUGAAGCUGAGACUCUUCCGCGAACACAUUUCUCUUAUUUUUCUUCUUCUCUCAAUCUUUCUGAAUUCUGAAUCGCUUAAUGCUCAACGAUUCUUUUGGCAUUAUCUCCCUUCUGCAAGAUCUCCAUCUCACUCAGUCUUCUCCCAAAGUUCUCUCAGACGAAAGCUGGGCCAGUUUUGGUUGCUGUAAAUCCUUUUAACAAAGUUCCUCUGUAUGGUAAUGACUAUAUUGAAGCCUAUAAGUGUAAGGCAAUUGAAAGCCCUCAUGUUUAUGCAAUUAUCGACACAACCAUCCAAGCAUUGAUACGAGACCGAGACAGCAAAAAUAGCAAUGCAAUACUUGGCUGCCCUUGGUGGUGGAAGUGGAAUAGAGAACGAGAUAUUAAAGACUAAUCCAAUACCAGAAGCCUUUGGUAAUGGAAAAACAUUAAGAAAUGACAACUCGAGACGUUUUGGAAAGCUCAUUGAGAUUCAUUUCAGUGAAACUGGAAAAAUAUCUGGUGCAAAUAUUCAAACAUGUAUGUUUACACAGGAUGUAAUUGAAGGUUUGUCUUUUCUUCCUCUUUCAAGUAUCUAACUAUUAUGUUAACAUUUGCAACUCUAUUGAAUCGAUGUGGUGCUUCUGGCUUGGCCUGUUGAUCAUUAAAGCAUCAGAAUUGAUUUAAUUAGGCAUGAAAAAUUGCUAUACCAUAGAAGUACAUGAUUUUUGCACUGUAAGUAUCUGUUUGCUAAAUGGGAGUAUGAUCUUAAUUGCUGAAUUGGAGUCAAUGUAUGCAGAAAACCUUGCUGUUUUAGUUAUAAAACUAUGCAGAAAAACUUUGCUGUAUUGCUGUAAAAUCUGCAUAAAAUCUUUGCUGUUUUGGUGUAAAAUUCUGCAGAAAUAUCUUACUGUUUUGCUGUAUAAUCUGCAUAAAAAUCUUGCUGUUUUGACGGUAUAUUCUGCAUAAAAAAUCCUUGGCUGUUUGACAUUUGCUAAUGCUGAUUGAGUUGUUUAUAGCCUUUGGAGAUAUUGUUUUAUGUCGAUUGGGUAUUAUUGUUGUCAAAGGUUGCUGUUGGACUAGGUAUAAAUAUUCCGAAUAUACUGUUUGAUUGUAUUGAUGCUGAGAUUGUUGUUUCAGUUAUGGAUGAGAUUGUAAUAUAAUUAUAUUAUAAUGAAUUUUUGGAAAUACAGCAUAUUUGUUUGGUUCUUAAUAUUGCACCAUUCGUGAUGAGCUUGCUAAAAUAUAUGUAUGUAAUGUUUGAGUUAGUACAAUUAUGUUCGAAUGGUAUUAGUUGCCCUUUUAGAAAUCACAUGAUUGGAUAUGUUCAUUGAGGAUGUAUGAAUGAUGAUGCGUAGACAGUGUGAAAUGAAUCUAGUUUGGCGCUUGGUCUUUAUACUUGUGGUGCAAGCGUCUUUUGAUCCAUCCUUCCUCUUUCUCAAUUGUUUUAGAACUACACUAGGUUCAUUGUAUAUGGCAUGACAACGGAUAAUUAUAUUGAGUCUGCAGUUUUUUUUUUUGCUAUAAGCUGAGAGGAGGCUAUUGCUUUCGUCUUCUAUGAUAUUCAUUCCACUAAUUGUUAAAUGUUAGAUCAUGAGAAAGAUAAAAUUUCAAGAAAACAAAAGAAACUCAGAAAAUGUGAAAAGAAACAUAAAGAGUUACAAAUAUAUGAAAAAAAAAACUAUCUUUGGAGAAGAAAUGGAAGAAAGGAGCAGAACCAUAGCAUCGACCCCAAGAGAUGUUAGACAAAGAAGAGGGGGAUGAGAAAUUUACUACAAUAUUUUUGUUGCACAUAACAUCCACGUAAGAAAAGGAACCUGGACUACAAUAUUUACUACAAUAUUUUUGUUACCCAGAGAAAUAAACCAGAAUAGAUCUAUGAAAAAGUGACUCAUGCACUCAAGGCAAAGAUCUCGACUACAAAAAACCUAUUCUUCUAUAUUGAAGAGGUUUCUUGCUUGAAUUCAAGAAGAAUAUGAAGAAAAUAGAUUGAGAUCUUUAAAAAAAAGGCAACUUUUGACUCGUAAUACUAGGUCAAACACAAACACUUUCCCAUUCAAGCAAUUGGCCACAGGCCACUGGCUCGAAUCCAACCCAUAAACCCAACAUAUAUACAUACACCUCACGACCCUUGGGGAAUAGGAUCCCCUCCCUCCACAGAAAUUAAAUAACAUAAAUAGCCUUAAUUUCUCUAUUCAGAUGGAUUAUGGAAUCAACAGUGAUAUAUAGUUCCUGAUAAGGCCACCGUUCAGCCUGCUAUUAGGUCUACAACUGCUGCCACUGUACCAAAUUAUCCUGCUACAAUAACUCACAUAGUGGGCAGGGGCCACUUUGCACUAGACACCACUAUGGCUGGAGAGAAAUUAACUAUAAACACAAAAAUUAACCAAAUUAACUAUAAACACAAAAAUUAACUAAUCUUAUACAAAUUUGAUUAACUAUAAACACAAAAAUUAACCAGAUUAUUACCUUCAACUUUUCAUGAGCUUCUUUCACAAUCUUUCCAUUCUUUUCUUUCUCCAAUUAUAUCCAUACUUUCUAAAGUACCUCAAAGCCUUUCUAUCAAAUAAAAAAAGUGUACCACCUGAAAUUAUGAAGUAAAAUUCAAAGCUUUUAUGUCUUAGUAAACUCAAAUUAAUGAUAGGAAUAUAAUUAGAAGGUAAAAGAUAGAGUGAAAAUAACAAGUUAUAAGAAAACAACAAAAUACUAAUAAUAACAUCCUAAAUCCUGAUGAAUUGUGAUGAAUAUGCAAUAAGUACACAAGGUACUUUUUGGCUACCAAGCUUCACAAUUUGUUUUUUGAAUAAUGUGUCUUCAUUCCUUAAACUGAAAUAAAAGGUCUAUUAGAACAUGAAUAUAUUAAGUUUAGAUAAUGAAAAAUUAAAAAACUUCAUACAAUUUUAAAAAUAAUUAAAUUCAGUUAAAUGAACUCAAGAAGGAGAAUACUUCAAUUUUUAAACACAUUGUUCAGCACCCAGAAAGAUAUGAUUAAUUCAGGCCAAAAUGUUCAUAAACACUAAGUUGCACCAAAUAAGUCAAGGAAAAUCAGUUUGUGAAACCUUCUUGGACAAUUCAUCUAAUCCAUAUAUCAAAAGUAUAUACUGGUGCAAAUUAAUAUUAAGUAACAUAGAUAAUGGCAUGUUAGCAAUAAAUGCUUUUCGGCCAUUGAUUGAAGAGUCAACACUGCUAAGUUUAAGUUUCUUAAGGUUAAGCUUAGGCUAAACUCACUUUCUAAGACACUACAACUGCGACUGUGAAGUCUUCAAAUUCAAUAUGUAUAUAGUAUUAUCUCCAUGAUUGGAAUAAAGGAAAAAUAUUAUACUCUUAAUUCAAAUUGUAUUUUCCAAAUUUCAUAUAAUAAAAUAGGUUGUUACAGUUACGAACUAACAAAUUUCCAACAUAGAAUAAAUAGCUAUUUUUGCAUGUUUAUUGCAUAAAGGAGUAAGCAAAAUUGUAAUACCAGUUUGGGUAAAAAUAGAAAUGAAAAAGGCCAACCGAAAAGGUCACAAACAUAAAACAUAAUAAUAGAUGGCCUUGGACCUUAGUAAAACCAGAUUCAAGGGGGUCUCAACUUACUAACCAGACCAACAACACUUGCUUUUGCAUGCUAAAAUUCCAUGUGAAAGAAAGAGACAAAUAAUUACAGUUCUAUUUUUUAUAUUAUUUUUAUUCAAAAGGCCUUAGAAGACCAUUAAAGAAGGAAUAAGCUGCAGAACAAAACCAAAACGUUUAAAAAAUAAAAGUAGAUAUAGAGCUAGAGAUAUCAACAAACCAAUGGAUUCAGAACAAUCCUCAUGCUGGGUUGAAUGUAUUUCCACAAAACUCUUAGAAUGCCAAACAAAUUCUGACCAGUUGGACUUAAAAGAUCGAGAUGAGCAUCAAUGUGAAACCUAGAAUUUUUAUUAUGUAGAAUGAUAGCACUGCACAAAUCAACAGUAUUAAACUAUUAAAUUGUAUAAUUAAAUGAUAUAUAUAUAUAUAUAUGUUUAUUUCUCAACCUUGAUAUUACUCUUAUCAUCAGAGAAAGAGAAAUACUAUGUGUACAACAAAGUGAAAAAGAGAAAGGAGAGAAAAGUAUUACAUGUUAUUAGUGAUAUCAUAGAGAUAGAUACAGAGGAAAAAGUAGUGUCAUAUACUACUAAAAAUUAUUGUAUGAAUAUCUACUUAUCAUAAUCUAUACAUUAGAAUGGUUGCUCCAUACACUAUGAAUUUAGUAAACAAAAAGAAUCAUGGCACCAAAACAAUCAAAAGAAUAUUGUACAAAUAAACUGAUGGUAAGAAAUUAAAUUACAAGGUUCAUUAGUGACUACGGUACUCAUUUAAUCACUAUACUAUGGAUACUUCAUUGGAACUGAAAUCUUAUCAAACCUGUAUGCUACUGGAUCAUAGGGGUCAAAAAUGUUGAAUAACUGCCGACAAGUUGGCAUCUCUUCUUUUAUAUUUUCCUGCUGCCAAUAUUCUUGUUAUUUACAUGAAACAAACAAGAAAGAAUAAAAACUGGAUGCAUAUGAUUAAAAACUGGAUGUUAUUAUGACUGACACUUGUAAUCAUAACUUUUUUUUUCUGAUAAAAGCACAGAAAGUGUUUUAACAUUAGUUUAAUAAAGCCAAACAAAAUUGAAUGGAGAUUGUUAAUACAAAAGAAUACACAGCGAAAGUUGAGUGUUAGAAUACAUAAUAAAAUUUCAAUAGUAUAGCAGCAACUGUAUUUUACAAUUAGUUUGAAUAUAUCUUAGGUUACCUCUCAAGAUUAGACCCUAUAUUUCUUUACCCCAAUAAUUCAUUAAUCAGAUAGAAUUAUGAUCUGGCAUUAGCAUAAAUAAAGGCCAAUUUUAUAUGUUUUUGUAUCACAUUGGAAAACAUCAUAAGUUUAUGCAAGAAGUAGCUUAACCUAAAACUUCUAUUUAUUCUAAUAAUUACUAAUUAGAUCAGGUACUAUAGCAGCUUCGAAAAUCCCUAGUGCACUAACAGAUUAAAAUCCACUAAAAUAAGGAAACGAAAAAAAACAGACUUAAAUAUGUUUCUUGUGUCUGUAAUAUACUAAUUUAAUGGUUUUGAUCUCCAGUAACUAAUAAUUUUGAUGUGGCAACCAUCUACUGCAGAACACACCUGAUGUUUCUUAAAUAGUAAUGACUAAAAUGAAUAUCUUAUAAUAUAAGAAAUAUAGAUAUCAAUGGUUUACAGUUUCGUAAGAACUAAAAAAAGCAUGGUUAAUACCUAAAAUUGUAAAAUAAAAAUUCGUUGAGACCCAAACCAUAAGAAAAAUAUAAGGACUAAAACAUAAUAUGGGUAUAUUUAAGCCAAAAAGAAAAUUAAAUAUAAUCUAAAUAUAACACAUGUAUUCUUCACCAUUUUAUUAGUAAAAAGGAAGCUUCUAAUUUCCAAUUAGCAACAAUUUUGGUGUAUCAUUAAAGAGAAAUACAGAGAAAAAAGUAUUACAUGUUAUUAGUGAUAUCAUAAAGAUAAAUACAGAGGAAAAAGUAGUGUCCAAUACUACUAAAAAUUGUUGUAGGAAUAUCUACUUAUCAUAAUCCAUACAUUAGAAUGUUGCUCCAUACGCUUUGAAUUUAGUAAAGAAAAAGAAUCAGGGCACCGAAACAAUCGAAGGAAUAUUGCACAAAUAAACUGAUGGUAAGAAAUUAAUCACUAUGGAUAGGACUAAAUCUUAUCAAACUUGUAUGCUACUGGAUCAUACUCUUCUCUUAUAUUUUCCUGCUCCCAGUAUUCUUGUCCUUUACCUGAAACAAACAAGAAAGAAUACAUAGCCAUCAACCUAAAUGCAUAUGAUUAAAAACUAGAUGUUAUUAUGACUGCCACUUGUAAUCAUAACUUUUUUUCCUUAUAAAAGGAAAGAAAGUGUUUUAUCAUUAAUUUAAUAAAGCCAAACAAAAUUGAAUGGAGAUUGUUUGUACAAAAGAACACACAGCGAAAGUUGAUUAGUGUUAAAAUACAUGACAAAAUUUCAAUAGUAUACCAACAACUGUAUUUUACAAUUAAUUUGAAUAUAUCUUAGGUUACCUCUCAAGAUUAGUCCCUACAUUUCUUUACCCAUUUGAUUCAUUAAUAAGUUAGAAUUAUGAUCUAGCAUUAACAUAAAUAAAGGCCAAUUUUAUGUUUUUGUAUCACAUUGGAAAACAUCAUACGUUAUGAACCUCGCUAAGAUAUUCCAAUAUUAAAGGUCCAUUAUACAAGGUAAGGCCGGGCAUAAUUCACCAAACUGUACUGAAACUACAAUUAACUGAAUUAUAUUAUACUUAAAAAAACUAAACUUAUUUUAACUAAAACUAAUUAAACUAUUUUACAGUUCAGUUAAAACAAACUGAACUCUACAUAAUUUAAGUGCAGUUAACUGGGAACCACAGUUUCUCCCUAACUGAGAAUUUCACCCCUAAAUUGAAAACCCUUGAAGCUAGGGUUCGAAAGGAUUAGGGCUGCUGUGUGCUUCUUCAUGUGGCAGCCGUGUUUUUCUCUGUGUGGGAUCUUCUUCCAGCUCUCCAAUCACCAUGCCAAUCUUCUCUGCUGCUGGACCGUGAAGGUCUUCUUCAAGGUGUUGGACGUCUUCUUCUUGUUGCUGGACGUCUUCUUCUUGUUGCUAGACCGUGAAGGUCCUUGGACAGCCAUCCAUGCAUCCACUUCUUCUAGCUGCAAUUUACGUGAAGUUUCUUCUCCUCCGUGAACAUGCUGGCUGGCUUUUCCAAUGAAAAAGAUCACUUUCUUGGGUGGAUGGAUCCCAUAGGACGAGACAUCACUCCUCUUUGCUCCGUGUUCUUUUCUUCCUUUCAGCAUGAGUUCCCAUGUGUUUGUCGUUUACAAAUUCUUUAAUCAACAAAAGUAAGAAAAGGGGGCCAUGUGUCCUUGUAUUAUUUUAUUUUCCAGACACUUCAGCAAAUGAGCACAAAGUGUAAUAUAAAUUAGUUUACUGAACUGCACUGUACUAUGAGUAGACUAAAAACCAGUGCAGUUUAGUUCACUCGAACUACUUUUAGUUCAGUUUAGUUUAGGAGAACUGUUUUAUAGUUAACUGCAAAUUUUUAUAGUAUAGUGCAGUACAGUAUACUUUGCCCACCCCUAAUACAAGGAGGCAAAUGAACCAACGAGAUGUAAUGGGUGACUGGUAACUGGAAAACCAGUUAGUAAAGGAGGUGGUAAGAGUAGUUAGAGAGGUCUAUUUGAAAAAUUUGAGAGUUGAGGAGAGGGACUUAUAAAUAUAAUUUUCUAUCAGACAGGAGAUGGGGAAGUAUUAUUUUUAGAUGCUAAUAACCUGUUUUCACAGUUGUAGUAGAAGAAGGGGUUUCCCUUGGCACAGAGGAAUAAUAGGAUCUCUCUGGUUAUCUUCCCCUUCA